rnacentral:rRNA from 1 species
UACGUAGGGACCGAGCGUUGUCCGGAUUCAUUGGGCGUAAAGAGCUCGUAGGCAGCUGUUCAAGUCGAACGUGAAAACUCGGAGCUCAACUCCGAGCCUGCGUUCGAUACUGGACGGCUAGAGUCUGGUAGGGGGAUCUGGAAUUCCUGGUGUAGCGGUGGAAUGCGCAGAUAUCAGGAGGAACACCGGUGGCGAAAGCGGCGUGCUGGACCUUUACUGACGCUGAUGCGCGAAAGCCAGGGGAGCGAACGGG